rnacentral:piRNA from 1 species
UGAAAAACUUUACAUCAAAAUGGUUCUGCCU